rnacentral:rRNA from 1 species
UAACACUUAGAAAUAGGUGCUAAUACCGCAUAACAACAGAAAGCGCAUGCUUUUUGUUUGAAAACCAAGGUGGUAUGGGAUGGACCCGCGUCUGAUUAGCUGGUUGGCGGGGUAAAGGCCCACCAAGGCGACGAUCAGUAGCCGGCCUGAGAGGGUGGACGGCCACAUUGGGACUGAGACACGGCCCAAACUCCUACGGGAGGCAGCAGUGGGGAAUAUUGCACAAUGGGGGAAACCCUGAUGCAGCGACGCCGCGUGAGUGAAGAAGUAAUUCGUUAUGUAAAGCUCUAUCAGCAGGGAAGAAAAUGACGGUACCUGAGUAAGAAGCCCCGGCUAACUACGUGCCAGCAGCCGCGGUAAUACGUAGGGGGCAAGCGUUAUCCGGAUUUACUGGGUGUAAAGGGAGCGUAGACGGCAGUGCAAGCCUGGAGUGAAAGGCGGGGGCUCAACCCCCGGACUGCUCUGGAAACUGUACGGCUGGAGUGCANGAGANGUAAGUGGAAUUYCUAGUGUAGCGGUGAAAUGCGUAGAUAUUAAGAGGAACACCMGUGGCGAAAGCGGCUUACUGGGACUGUAACUGACGUUGANGCUCNGAAAGCGUGGGGAGCAAACAGGAUUAGAUACCCUGGUAGUCCACGCCGUAAACGAUGAUCACUACGUGU